rnacentral:tRNA from 1 species
GCCUGGGUGGCUCAGUGGUUGAGCAUCUGCCUUCAGCUCAGGGCGUGAUCCCAGGAUCCGGAAUCUGGGAUCGAGUCCCACUUUGGGCU